UUGCACCUGCCGAUUGAAUGGUCCGGUGAAGCCUCGGGAUUGUGACCGGUUUGCUUCACUGUGAGUUGGUCGCGAGAACUUGUCCAAACCUUAUCAUUUAGAGGAAGGUG
rnacentral:rRNA from 1 species